UUAUAUAAAAUACCUAUUAUACUCUUAACAAAGAAAAAAUCUUACCUAUAGAUUUUGAUAACUUAAGGGUACUUUUAGAAAAAAAGAGCUCCAAUUUUCAACUGGUGGGAAAGUAGCUUUCUUAUGUCCUCCAUGAAUUUUUUUUCUUCAUAAAAUAUGGUGACCUUAUUUCCAUGAAAAUGCUACUUUUUGUUACACUUUUUUGUUUUUCCGUUGACCAUUUUUUUUCCAUUUUUUUUCCACGAAUCAAACAAGUCCUCCAUGUUAAGUUUGAACAUAUUUUUUUUCUUUUAAAGAAAACUUCUUGAUCUUUGGAUUUGUUUGGUUUGCAAAAAAAAGAAAAAAAGUAAGGUCAACGGAAAAAAUAUUACUUCCGGACUGAUUGAAAAUUGGAAUCUUUUUCUUUUAGUAGGACUCUUAAGCCAUCAAAAUCUAUCGGUAAAAAUUUUUCC
rnacentral:lncRNA from 1 species